rnacentral:rRNA from 1 species
GACGAACGCUGGCGGCGUGCUUAACACAUGCAAGUCGAACGGAAAGGCCCUGCUUUUGUGGGGUGCUCGAGUGGCGAACGGGUGAGUAACACGUGAGUAACCUGCCCUUGACUUUGGGAUAACUUCAGGAAACUGGGGCUAAUACCGGAUAGGAGCUCCUGCUGCAUGGUGGGGGUUGGAAAGUUUCGGCGGUUGGGGAUGGACUCGCGGCUUAUCAGCUUGUUGGUGGGGUAGUGGCUUACCAAGGCUUUGACGGGUAGCCGGCCUGAGAGGGUGACCGGCCACAUUGGGACUGGAAUACGGCCCAGACUCCUACGGGAGGCAGCAGUGGGGAAUAUUGCACAAUGGGCGGAAGCCUGAUGCAGCAACGCCGCGUGCGGGAUGACGGCCUUCGGGUUGUAACCCGCUUUCGCCUGUGACGAAGCGUGAGUGACGGUAAUGGGUAAAGAAGCACCGGCUAACUACGUG